CCUACGGGAGGCAGCAGUGGGGAAUAUUGCACAAUGGGGGAAACCCUGAUGCAGCGACGCCGCGUGAGUGAAGAAGUAAUUCGUUACGUAAAGCUCUAUCAGCAGGGAAGAAACACUGACCUUACGGUCAGCAGACGGUACCUGACUAAGAAGCCCCGGCUAACUACGUGCCAGCAGCCGCGGUAAUACGUAGGGGGCAAGCGUUAUCCGGAUUUACUGGGUGUAAAGGGAGCGUAGACGGUGCGCCAAGUCUGGAGUGAAAUGCCGUAGCUUAACUGUGGAACUGCUUUGGAAACUGGCGAACUAGAGUGCGGGAGGGGUAAGCGGAAUUCCUAGUGUAGCGGUGAAAUGCGUAGAUAUUAGGAGGAACACCGGUGGCGAAGGCGGCUUACUGGACCGUAACUGACGUUGAGGCUCGAAAGCGUGGGGAGCAAACAGGAUUAGAUACCCCUGUAGUC
rnacentral:rRNA from 1 species